rnacentral:rRNA from 1 species
GAUGAACGCUGGCGGCGUGCCUAAUACAUGCAAGUCGAGCGAACGGACGAGAAGCUUGCUUCUCUGAUGUUAGCGGCGGACGGGUGAGUAACACGUGGAUAACCUACCUAUAAGACUGGGAUAACUUCGGGAAACCGGAGCUAAUACCGGAUGAUAUAUUGAACCGCAUGGUUCAAAGGUGAAAGACGGUCUUGCUGUCACUUAUAGAUGGAUCCGCGCUGCAUUAGCUAGUUGGUAAGGUAACGGCUUACCAAGGCAACGAUGCGUAGCCGACCUGAGAGGGUGAUCGGCCACACUGGAACUGAGACACGGUCCAGACUCCUACGGGAGGCAGCAGUAGGGAAUCUUCCGCAAUGGGCGAAAGCCUGACGGAGCAACGCCGCGUGAGUGAUGAAGGUCUUCGGAUCGUAAAACUCUGUUAUUAGGGAAGAACAUAUGUGUAAGUAACUGUGCACGUCUUGACGGUACCUAAUCAGAAAGCCACGGCUAACUACGUG